UUUGGACCGGGGGAGGAAACCGGAGUACCCGGAGGAAACCCCCGAGGCACGGGGAGAACAUGCAAACUCCACACACACAAGGCGGAGGCGGGAAUCGAACCCCGACCCUGGAGGUGUGAUAAAGAGGCUGCAGUGCACUAUCGAGCUGGAACACCAGUCCCCAAUCCCUGACUGUACCUGAGACAGGUAGUGAGGUACAAUCAGUGAGCACCACAGCAACAGCCAGUCACACCACGAGAUGUCAGCCGAACCCACACCCUCCCUACAUCACCAUGGCAACUGCAGGACCAUGUGGUGUGAUCUCUCUCUCUGUGUGUGUGUGUGUGUGUGUGUGUGUGUGUGUGUGUGUGUGUGUGUGUGUGUGUUUUUG